rnacentral:rRNA from 1 species
CUACGGGGGGCUGCAGUGAGGAAUAUUGCACAAUGGGGGGAACCCUGAUGCAGCAACGCCGCGUGGAGGAUGACGCAUUUCGGUGUGUAAACUCCUUUUAUAUGUCAAGAAAAUGACGGUAGCAUAUGAAUAAGCACCGGCUAACUCCGUGCCAGCAGCCGCGGUAAUACGGAGGGUACAAGCGUUACUCGGAAUCACUGGGCGUAAAGGACGCGUAGGCGGGUUGGAAAGUCAGGUGUGAAAUCCUACAGCUUAACUGUAGAACUGCACUUGAAACUUCUAAUCUAGAGAAUGGGAGGGGGAGAUGGAAUUAGUGGUGUAGGGGUAAAAUCCGUAGAUAUCACUAGGAAUACCUAAAGCGAAGGCGAUCUCCUGGAACAUUACUGACGCUAAGGCGUGAAAGCGUGGGGAGCAAACAGGAUUAGAUACCCGAGUAGUC